rnacentral:lncRNA from 1 species
CAUGAGCUGUAUAGUUUGUACAGUUAACAGGUUCCUGAGUGGCCUCAUUUAUUUCAGGAUCUCUACAAACAUAUAAUAUUAAGUUCCUGAGCCUUUUUCUUCUGCAUUAUUAUUUUCUUCUUGAUUCUUUUUUGGGGAGGCUGAGGGAGAAGAGGAAAACUUGAUCUGGCGGGACUCCCAGCCGUGAACAGCAUGCCAUGCAGGCCCAGCGUCAGAAGUUCCUGAAUCUCGUGGAGUGCAUUCGUCUCCUCUGACAGCAAUACCAGAGGCUUGCUAGGUCCUUUCCCCACAUGGAAACAAAGACUCUCAACCUCUGCUAGCCAGAGCCCAGAAAGCACCCCUCCCUGCCUUCCGCCCUAUUUUCUGUAGCAGCUUCCCCAACAGGCAGCCCCUGGCCUGCGGGCCUGGACGAAGGGGAGAAUGGGAUCUCUCCAGUGGGGAUCGGUGUGUCAUGGCUCCCUACUAGAACACAAGCUUUCUGAGGGCAGCACCAUUUCUCAUUCAUCCUUUUAGCUUUUACACUUUUAAAUGCCUAAACUGUGGGAAAGGGAAGAUAGACUUUAGGAAGACAAGCCCCGUAAGGGGGAAUGACACACACACACACACAGCCCCGAGAAUCCCAUCCUCCAUUCGUCCAGGCCCGGUCUCCAGGGUCUAUCCCCCCGCCAGACAGCGGCCAACUGUCUGUCCAGACAAUCCAGCCCAGGCCUCCUUGGCCAGACCUAACCACCAGGCCGCUCCCUGCUUGGGCGCCUGGCCUUGCCUUUGAAAACCCAGGAACGCCUCUGCACAGCAGGGAGGCGUAGGGGUGAGACUGAGGGGGGGUGGGCAGACAGACUAAGAAGGCUAGGACUCCACAGCUUUGGCAGCACUGAGGACGCAAGCUUAAGGCACACUGACUGUGACGGCGCGGGCUUCGGGAGGGGUUGUGGGACUGAGCCGGAUGAGAAAGCUGGGGGGAAGAGCAAAGCACUGAGAAAAGGAAGGGCACCAGAGACCCCGUGCACUGCAGGUGAAUAGCUGGGGUCCCAGGGGUCGCGGAGAUGCGCCAGCCUCGUGUUUCGGGGAGGAGGAAAGCGGAGGGACUGGCCCAAGGCCACCCAGGCAGGGAAGAUGCCGGCUGUCCCCCACACUAGACCCCUCGCUGGGGCUCAGCUUUCCACCAGAUUCCCCCCCAGAAACCAAGGAUGUGGCCGCAGCCCCUCCAGACCUGGGUUGUCAGAAGCUCCCUCCCAGCUGGGACAUUCUAUGGCCCGAGAUUCCUCCCCGCUCUAACAUCCUGUGUUCUAAGGUUCCCCCCAGCUCGGACAUCCUGUGUUCUAGGGUGCCCCCCAGCUCGGACAUCCUGUGUUCUAGGGUUCCCCCCAGCUCGGACAUCCUGUGCUCUAAAGUCUCUCCCAGCUCGGACAUUCUGUGCUCUAAGGUCGAUUUCAGCUCAGACAUUCUACAUCCUAAGGUGGCUUCCAGCUCUGCUAUUCUGCGCCCUAAGGACACCCCGAGUUCAGACAUUCGAUGUCCUAAGGUCCCCCCCAACUCGGACAUUCUGUAUCCCAGGGUCACCCCCAGCUCGGCCAUCUUAUGUCCCAAGGUCCUUCCCAACUCAGACAUCCUCCGUCCUAAGGUCCCUCCCAGCCCCAACAUUCUGUGUCCUAAGAUAGCCCCCAAAUGGGACAUUCUGACUCCAAAAGUCACUCCCAAUUCAGACAUCCUCCGUCCUAAGGUCACUCCCAGCUGCGACAUUCUAAGUUCUAAGACCAUUCCCAGCUGCGACAUCCUAUGCCCUAGGGUUCCAUCCAGCUCUGGCAUUCUUCGCCCCAAGAUAGCUCCCAGCUCGGACACUCUGUGUCCAAAGGUGGCUCCCAGCUCGGCCAUCCUGUGUCCUAAAGUGGCUCCCAGCUCGGCCAUCCUGUGGGCUAAGGUCACUUCCAGCUCUGAGAUUCUGUGCUCUAAGGUCACUUCCAGCUCAGACAUUCUAUGCUCUAAGGUCACUUCCAGGUCAGACAUUCUAAGUCCCAAACCUCCGCCCAGCUUGGACAUUCUGUGUUCUAAGGACCCUCCCAGCUCAACCAUUCUGUGUGCUAAGGUGGCUCCUAGCUCAGCCAUUCGGUGCUCCAAGGUGGCUCCCAGCUCGGCCAUUCUGUGCUCUAGGGUCCCUCCCAGCUCGGCCAUUCUGUGUUCUAAGGCCCCGCCCAGCUCGGACAUCCUCUGUUCUAAAGUCACUCCCAGCUUGGACAUCCUCUGUCUCAAGGUCCCUCCCAGCUCCAACAUUCUGCGUUCUAAGGUGGCUCCCAGCUGAGCCAUUCGCCGACCCAGAGUUCCUCCCAAUCCCGACAUCCUCCGUCCCAAGACCCCCUCCAGCUCGGACAUCCGGUGUUCUAAGAGGCCCUCUAGCUCGGACAUCCUGUGUUCUAAGGUGGCUCCCAGCUCCGAGAUCCUGUGUUCUAAGGUCUCUUCCAGCUCCGAUAUCCUGUGUUCUAAGCUCUCUUCCAGCUCGGACAUUCUGUGUUCUAGGGUCCCUCCCAGCUCAGACAUUCUGUGUUCUAGGGUCCCUCCGAGCGCGGACCUUCUGCGCCCUAAGGAGCCUCCCAGCUCGGACAUUCGGUGCCUUAAGGUCCCUCCCAGCUCGGACAUUCUGUGCUCUAGGGUCCCUUCCAGCUCCGACACUUUGUGUUCUAGGGUCCCUUCGAGUUCUGACAUUCUGUGUCCCAAGGUGUCCCCCAGCUCAGACAGGAAGACUUCCAGGGUCCCCCCCAGGUCCGACACGGUGGCCCGCCCCACGGCCUGGCCCAGCUCGGACACUCGGUGUCCCACGGUGCCUCUGAGCUCGGACAGGCGGCACUCCAGGGUCCGCCCCAGCUCCACGUCCCUGUACUGCAAGGUGACUCCCAGCUCGGAGGUCCUGUACUCUAGGUUCCCCACCAGCUCUGACGUCCUGUGCAGGGACAGCCUGCGCCCCAGGCUCCCGCCCAGCCCCGACACGCGGCGCUUUAGGGCCCAGCCCAGCUCGGAGAUCCGGUGCUCCACGGUCCCUUCCAGCUCGGACGUUCUGUGCCCCAAGGUCCCCCCCAGCUCCGACAUCCUGUGCUCUAGGGUCCCCACGAGCUCGGACAUCCUGUGUUCUAGCGUCCCUUUCAGCUCAGAGAUCCUGCGCUCUAAGGUGUCCCCCAGCUCCGACAUCCUGCGCCUCCAAAGCCCUUCGGUGUUUCCCGGGGAUGUUCUAUGGGGGGGGGGGGUCCCUGAGGCUGGUGUUCUAGGGCCCCCUCCCAGGGAAGCGCCACAUUGUGGGGCCCUCCUGGCUUGGGCGGGGUGUUCUCGGCCCCCCAGCGCCGAGGUGCCGCGUUCUAGAGGCCCCGCCCCCGCGCCGGCAUCGUGGGUCCCCCGGUAACAAGCUGCGUUCUAGGCCGCCAGGGCCGCCGCGUUCUGGGCUCUCCCUCCCAGCCCCCAAGUUCUAGGUUUGAGCUUCUCUUGUC